rnacentral:rRNA from 1 species
GACGAACGCUGGCGGCGUGCCUAAUACAUGCAAGUCGAACGCAGUGGGGACGGGUGAGUAACCCGUGGGUAACCUCCCAUCAGAGGGGAUACCACUUGGAAACAGGUGCUAAACCGAUACUGAUGGCUUGACCCGCGGUGCAUUAGCUAGUUGGUGAGGUAACGGCUCACCAAGGCCACGAUGCAUAGCCGACCUGAGAGGGUGAGCGGCAACACUGGAACUGAGACACGGACAAGAGGCAGACGUGAGGCAGCAGUAGGGAAUAGGAGGCAAUGGACGAAAGUAUGACAGAGAAACGCCGCGUGAGUGAAGAAGGUUUUCGGAUCGUAAAACUCUUUCGUUAGGGAAGCGGUAUCUAACCAGAAAGCCACGGCUAACUACGUGCCAGAAGCCGCGGUAAUAC